CAGUAGCCGCGGGAAUACGUAGGGUGCAAGCGUUAAUCGGAAUUACUGGGCGUAAAGCGUGCGCAGGCGGUUUGUUAAGACAGAUGUGUAAUCCCCGGGCUCAACCUGGGAACUGCAUUUGUGACUGGCAGGCUAGAGUAUGGCAGAGGGGGGUGGAAUUCCGCGUGUAGCAGUGAAAUGCGUAGAUAUGCGGAGGAACACCGAUGGCGAAGGCAGCCCCCUGGGCCAAUACUGACGCUCAUGCACGAAAGCGUGGGGAGCAAACAGGAUUAGAUACCCCCGUAGUCCCUGUCUCUUAUAC
rnacentral:rRNA from 1 species